GGGACUUAGAUUUCCCUCGCCCAGACACGGGUCACCGGGGCCCCCCUCUGGAGCCAGGCCUGGAGUUGGGGCUUGAAGGCGAGCAUCUGGUGGCCGGGCCUUCGCCCAUGGGGCCCGGCUGGGCACAGCC